UACAGGGGGUGCAAACGUUGCUCGGAACCAUUGGGCGUAAAGCGCACGUAGGCGGUUCGUUAUGUCGGAUGUGAAAGCCCUUGGCUUAACCGAGGAAGUGCAUCCGAAACUGGCGAGCUAGAGUACGAAAGAGGAUCGCGGAAUUCCCGGUGUAGAGGUGAAAUUCGUAGAUAUCGGGAGGAACACCGGUGGCGAAGGCGGCGAUCUGGGUCGAUACUGACGCUGAGGUGCGAAAGCGUGGGGAGCAAACAGG
rnacentral:rRNA from 1 species